AUGGCAUGUCACCGAUCUGCGACUGCUAGCAGCAAAUAUCUCCAAUGGCUGGUGAUGGGACACUACAUGGGGAGGGCUCUGUGUUACUACAGAGAAUUCUUUCCCAAGUGUCUGGCUGCUGGGUCUUGCCCAUAUGCUCAGGGUCUAACUGAUCACCAUAUUUCAGGUCGGGAAGGAAUUUCCCCCCAGGUCAGAUUGGCAGAGACCCUGGCGGGUUUUUGCCUUCCUCUGCAGCAUGGGGUCACUUGCAGGUUUAAACCAGUGUAAAUGGUGGAUUCUCUGUAACUUGAAGUCUUUAAAUCAUGAUUUGAGGUCUUCAGUAAUAAAGCCAGAGAUUAGGGGUCUAUUACAGAAGUGUAUGGGUGAGGUUCUGUGGCCUGCAAUGUGCAGGAGGUCAGACUAUAUGAUCAUGGUGGUCCCUUCUGACCUUAAAGUCUAUGAGCAAACAAUAUUUUCCCUAUUUUACAUUAGGUUCCAUAUUUUUAAAUUGUCCUACAGUAAUGGCUUUAAUAUGUAAUUAUCCGCUGAUUACUGGUAUUUGGUAUAUUGUUAAUCUUGGUACCUAGUUACUUACUGGAAGCAAUAUCAAAAUCUUGAAUUGAUUACAAAAAGAGAUGAGUGAUUUUUUUAUAGUUGACAAAUUAACAAAUGACAAUAACUAUAUAUGUUUAGACACCCUACUAGCGUAUUUGUGAAUGGCUACAAUACAGAAAUUCAGAACAGCCAGGAAACAAGACACUUGUGGGUGGGCUACCUUAUUUCCAAGGGAGAUAAAAACACAUCAGCAAUCUCUAGUUAUGGUGAAGAGAAUAAUGGCUGUUGCAGUAUCAGGUAUUACUUACUUACGUGGAAUUUUCCCUGAAGAUGCAUACAGCACCCAUUAUUUAGAAGAUCUCUGUGUUAAAGUUUUGCGAGAAGACAGCAUCUAUCCAAGAGUAUCCAAAAUUGUUAAAUGGAUGAAAGGAUGCUUUGAGGCAUUAGAAAAAAAAUAUCUGCAAAUGAUGAUUCUUGGAGUACAGAAGGACGCAGCUAACCCAAAUAACAUGAUAGAAUCUUAUCAAUUUAAGUUCAGAUAUACAUCGAAGGGACCACAGAUGGAUGUAUUCAGCAAUAAGAAAACUAAUUUAACAAAUGAUGCAACAGAAGACAUAAAGAGGACCUGUCUUCUUCUAAUUCAUAACCUCUAUUUUCUGAUGGAAAAUAUCAUUUCUCUUCCUAAUGAUGUCUCUCUCACUAUGAAGCUAUUUUAUUAUGCAGAUGAGGCAGGACACUUUAGUAGAAUACAUUAAUACAGACUAUGAACCACCAGGAUCUGAAGAGGAAUUUGUUGAUAAAUACCACAAGGUCAAGGAUGAAGCUACAAAAAAGAGGAAGAUAUCAAAGAAGAAUAAAUAAGGAAUUUAUGCAUGUGCAAGUACUUCAAAUUCAGUUAAGCCCACAAGAAGUAUUUUGGUUGCUUGAAAUAUACUGAAGAGAUUUUUAUUUUCAAACUGAAGAAGGAAUUUAGUUCAAGCAGCUGUUUUUAAAUCUUUUAAGUCUCCAAUUCUAAUAUACUCAGACUGUUUUUAAAGGGGAAAAGUAACUUAUUGUAUUGAACAUUUUAUAAAUAAAAGGUGUUAUGAAAA